UACUCGAGUGGCGAACGGGUGAGUAACACGUGGGUGAUCUGCCCUGCACUCUGGGAUAAGCCUGGGAAACUGGGUCCAAUACCGGAUAGGACCAUGCUUUAGUGUGUGUGGUGGAAAGUUUUUUCGGUGUAGGAUGAGCCCGCGGCCUAUCAGCUUGUUGGUGGGGUAAUGGCCUACCAAGGCGGCGACGGGUAGCCGGACUGAGAGGUUGGUCGGCCACAUUGGGACUGAGAUACGGCCCAG
rnacentral:rRNA from 1 species